AAAGAGCCCGCUCCGCCGAGCGCCGGGCGACGGCAGGAAGCCCCUCCGCUUGGCCAGAAUGGAGCAGCCGAAGGGAGUUGAUUGGACAGUCAUCAUCCUGACCUGCCAAUACAAGGACAGUGUCCAGGUCUUUCAGAGAGAACUGGAAGUGCGGCAGAAGCGGGAGCAGAUCCCUGCUGGGACGCUGUUACUGGCUGUGGAGGACCCAGAGAAGCGUGUGGGCAGCGGAGGAGCCACCCUCAACGCCCUGCUGGUGGCUGCUGAACACCUGAGUGCCCGGGCAGGCUUCACUGUGGUCACAUCCGAUGUCCUGCACUCGGCCUGGAUCCUCAUUCUGCACAUGGGUCGAGACUUCCCCUUUGAUGACUGUGGCAGGGCCUUCACCUGCCUCCCCAUGGAGAACCCCGAGGGCCCCGUGGAAGCCUUGGUCUGCAACCUGGACUGCCUGCUGGACAUCAUGACCUAUCGGGUGAGGCUGGGUGGUGGCCCGUGGUGCCUCGUCCCAGAUAGAGCCACUUCCCUCCCACUGUUCCCCCAGGUAUGAUCUAUGCUGGCUCAGCUGGGAGAAGGAAUGGUUUUGAGGGUGCCUAGUGUUAGUUAAGAUCUUCAAGAAGUUAGUUGUGUCUGGGGGCGGUGGCUCAUGCCUGUAAUUUCAGCACUUUGAGAAGCCAAAGUGGGAGGAUCGCUUGAGGCCAAGAGUUCAUGACCAGCCUGGGCAACACAGCAAGACCCCAUCUCUACAAAAAGAUUUUAAAA
rnacentral:sRNA from 1 species